CAGUCGAACGGUAGCAGAGAGCAGCUUGCUCCUUGGGUGACGAGUGGCGGACGGGUGAGUAAUGUCUGGGAAUCUGCCCGAUGGAGGGGGAUAACUACUGGAAACGGUAGCUAAUACCGCAUAAUGUCGCAAGACCAAAGAGGGGGACCUUCGGGCCUCUUGCCAUCGGAUGUGCCCAUAUGGGAUUAGCUAGUAGGUGGGGUAACGGCUCACCUAGGCGACGAUCCCUAGCUGGUCUGAGAGGAUGACCAGCCACACUGGAACUGAGACACGGYCCAGACUCCUACGGGAGGCAGCAGUGGGGAAUAUUGCACAAUGGGCGCAAGCCUGAUGCAGCCAUGCCGCGUGUAUGAAGAAGGCCUUCGGGUUGUAAAGUACUUUCAGCGGGGAGGAAGGUGUUGAGGUUAAUAACCUUGCCGAUUGACGUUACUCGCAGAAGAAGCACCGGCUAACUCCGUGCCAGCAGCCGCGGUAAUACGGAGGGUGCAAGCGUUAAUCGGAAUUACUGGGCGUAAAGCGCACGCAGGCGGUCUGUCAAGUCAGAUGUGAAAUCCCCGGGCUCAACCUGGGAACUGCAUCCGAUACUGGCAAGCUAGAGUCUUGUAGAGGGGGGUAGAAUUCCAUGUGUAGCGGUGAUAUGCGUAGAGAUCUGGAGGAAUACCGGUGGCGAA
rnacentral:rRNA from 1 species